GAUGAACGCUGGCGGCGUGCCUAAUACAUGCAAGUCGAGCGAACAGACGAGGAGCUUGCUCCUCUGACGUUAGCGGCGGACGGGUGAGUAACACGUGGAUAACCUACCUAUAAGACUGGGAUAACUUCGGGAAACCGGAGCUAAUACCGGAUAAUAUAUUGAACCGCAUGGUUCAAUAGUGAAAGACGGUUUUGCUGUCACUUAUAGAUGGAUCCGCGCCGCGUUAGCUGGUUGGUGAGGUAACGGCUUACCAAGGCGACCAUGCCUACCCGACGUGUCGGGGGGUCGGCCACACUGGAACUGAGACACGGUCAAGAGUCCUACGGGAGGCAGCAGUAGGGAAUCUUCCGCAAUGGGCGAAAGCCUGACGGAGCAACGCCGCGUGAGUGAUGAAGGUCUUCGGAUCGUAAAACUCUGUUAUUAGGGAAGAACAAAUGUGUAAGUAACUAUGCACGUCUUGACGGUACCUAAUCAGAAAGCCACGGCUAACUACGUG
rnacentral:rRNA from 1 species